AGAAUCUUGGAGAUUCCUAUCUACUGGAGGCCUUCUAAUGCCCUGAAGCAAGGCAGCAUCUGGAGAAUGGACAGCUUAGGCAGCUGGAGGCAGGAGACCAUGUCUAUCCCACAGCUGCAGAGGUUAAGCAGCUUUCUACUGAUUGCCAAUCAUGGCUUUGAACAUAAAGAGAAUCUUUGACGGGAACGGUGUUCCCUUGGGGUCUGUAUUGAGGCCAGCCCUGUUCAACAUCUUUGCUGAUUAUCUGGACAAAGGGAUUGAGUGCAUCCUCGCUCGACUUUAAUGAAAGUUCGCCUCUGGGAUCCUCAGCUCAUGGUUGAACAAAGCUGGAGCCAUCUGUGCAGCUACUUCUACCAUCAGAGGAGCAGAUGCUGUUUCAAUGCAGCAUCCUAGAAGGCCACAGGAGGCUGAAAAUGGAAUCUGUAUGAUAAAAAUAAGAAAUCAGUCUUUCUUUUUCUUUCUUUCUUCUGCCCCUCUCCCCCCAUUUGUCUCCAAUCUAUUAAAAUACUUGUGAAUCUUCCUGGAGAUUUACCGGCAUUAAUUCCAGCAGGACAAACCCUCAUCAUUUUUCUCUAUUCAGUUAAACCUAACACCACUGCCGUCAUCACUAACAGGUUAAACAGAGCUAAAUACAUCAUCUUAUUGUGAAUUACAUACAAUUUGGCCUUUGUUUUUCUUCUGUGGGCAGUGAUAUCUGCUUUCUACUCUGAAUUUGUCAUUAGUAAACUAGAACUUACCCGGUGAGAGCUGUUAAGUGCUUGUAUAAAGCAAUCAGUCAGAAAACGUUACCAAAGAAUGUCAGCAGGUGGGUCCCAGAGAUAUUACAGAGAGUUACAACCAUUUCUAAAUUGGAGGUGAAAAUUGCAGUUCUCACCACUGUUCACUGCACAAUCUGGCUUCUAAAAAUGCUGGCAAACAGAAAUUCAGCACUGCCAACUGCAAUUGUAUCAUGAGUUGAUGAUACUAAGUAUUGAAUGAAGUCCCCACUCCUGCAAGCAUCUGGAUUAGAUGAAGAUCUCAACUUUCAUUCUGUAUAAAAGCCCCGUGAGUCUAACACACGUGGUUAGAAAAGUCGGACCAAGCAUGAGUGUCAUUUCACCCAGUUUUAUUGUCUGCAAUUUAGACAUCUGCUCUGAGCUGUUAGGUCAUCUGUCCUAACAGUGGGGAGAGUGACAAAUCGAGGUGGCUGCGUGCCCCUGUCAGCACUCCAGCAUCACAUCUCCUACCACCAGGUGGUUGCGGGUGCUGGCUGUGCAACAGAACACAUCAGCUGCCUGGCUAAAAGCUGAGGGCUAUGAAAGUAGUAAAGCUGAUCCCACUGGUGCCAGGUGAUAUAAAAGCAGACGACUACACACAGUUACAUGGCAGAUUUCACUUAGCCUUUGUGCCAUGUCAAUAGUGGGGCUGGAGUAGGUGACAUUCAGAGUUCCUCCAGCUUCGGUCUAGAGAUAUCAUGACACCCUCACUCCAAAGGCAGUGGAUUUCCUGUGGGUGGUUACAUACACCCUAUCCAGAGAAGAUAUUCCAGAGAACUAUCCACACCACGCUCCUAAAGCAAUGAUGGGAGUUGGCAGAGAGCCUUCACUUGGAGAGGCAAGAAUUGUGCCCAAGUGUGGGUACAUGCUCUGUUUUGGAUUUUAGUACCCCCCUAUAGAUUACACUUUCUUAUAGCAGCUGUGAAAUGUCAUAAUGCUUCAAAAGAUCCCUUCAAAAAAUAAAAUAAAAUAAAACGGUGGUAGUUUUUUUGUAUCCAAGGUUCUUGAGUAUCCAAGAUCCUCUCCUCUCUUGGAUCUUGGAAGAGAGGAGCAGCUGCUGUGAAUGAAGGAUGCCAGAUGGGAAAAUAACCACACAGAAAUACAGUGUGAAACACUGCAAUAGGAGUACUGGCUCUUUGGGUACAUGGGGACCUCAGGAGGCAGACAUAGCUGCAGACCAGGUGUAUCAAAAGCCUGUCAUAUAUCUGUAAUUACUAAAUGUUUA